CUCAAUUUAAACCAGAAAUGACUAAAAUACAUCUUUGAGUGGAUCUAUGAAUAAAUCUAUGACUGGGUUUGGACAGUACUUGCUUUUUAGGCAAAACAAUGAAUGAUGCAAUCUGAAGCUGGUAUUGCAUCAUACAUGAUAUGAAUUGCAUCAUGUUAUUCCUAGAAGUCAUGGAUGAUGCAAUCAUAACGAAGCUUACAUCACUCUGCUGAACAAAUUGCCCUAUAUCAGCUCUAGAAAUCAUACAGUGUCGUGCUCUCUUAUUUGUCAGUGUUUGAUUUUGCAAAGGGACACAUUUCUGUUUAGCCAAAGUGAGCAGAGAUGCCUCGUACUUGUGUGAACAGUGCAGAUAACUUCUGCUAUGUUUGUGGUGAAGUGACUUUUGCAUCACAAAAGCGCGGUAUAACCACUAUGGUUAAGAAAGCCUAUCACCUUUAUUUUGGCUGCAAAAUUGGAGAUCAGGACAAGAGGUGGGCCCCACACAUAUGCUGCAACACUUGUGCAACAAAUCUUGGCCAGUGGUUGAACAGGAAAAGGAAAUCUAUGCCUUUUGCAGUGCCAAUGAUUUGGAGAGAGCCAACAGAUCAUACCAGCAAUUGUUACUUCUGCAUGGUGCCUCCAGUUGGGAAAGGUGUGUCAAAGAAGAAAAAGUGGACUGUGCAUUAUCCAAACAUUCCAUCAGCUAUACGCCCAGUACCCCACGGAGAAGGACUGCCGGUUCCUGAUGCACCAGAAUCAUUCUCACUUGAGUCAGACGAGGAAGAGGAAGAGGAUGAAACUUCUGGUCCUGAACCAUCAAUGUCACAGGACCCACAUUUUCUCCCAUCCUCCUCCUCUGAACCACACCUCCUAACACAAGGUGAACUGAAUGACCUUGUCAGGGAUUUGGAACUACCCAAGAGUAAGGCAGAGCUGUUGGGCUCCAGACUACAGCAGUGGAAUCUCCUGGCAGGCUAUCAGGGCAAAUGGAGCCCAUCAAUGCUUGCAGACUAUUGCUGGACAGUGACAAGAGAUGCUCCAUUUAAUGAAUACAAGAGACAAGCCAAGAGGCG
rnacentral:lncRNA from 1 species